rnacentral:rRNA from 1 species
UGGUUAAUUCGAUGCAACGCGAGAACUUACCUGGGCUUGACAUCCCGGGAAUCCCUUGGAAACAAGGGAGUGCCCUUCGGGGAACCUGGAGACAGGUGCUGCAUGGCUGUCGUCAGCUCGUGUCGUGAGGUGUAGGGUUAAGUCCCGCAACGAGCGCAACCCUUGUCUUUAAUUGCCAUCAUUGAGUUGGGCACUUUAAAGAGACUGCCGGUGUUAAACCGGAGGAAGGUGGGGAUGACGUCAAGUCCUCAUGGCCUUUAUGCCCAGGGCUACACACGUGCUACAAUGGGUGGUACAAAGAGCAGCCAGCUCGCGAGAGUGAGCAAAUCUCAAAAAGCCAUCCUCAGUUCGGAUUGAAGUCUGCAACUCGACUUCAUGAAGUUGGAAUCGCUAGUAAUCGCGGAUCAGCAUGCCCGCGGUCCGAAUACGUUCCGGCCUU